rnacentral:lncRNA from 1 species
AAAAGAUAAGAAUCAUCAUAAAUAAUUAUGAAGAAAAACAGGCAUAUCGGUAAAUAUUAAUAAAGAAAAUUUAAAAGACAUGAUUCCACAAUGGACAAGAUAGCAUAAUUAUCAUAAGCAAGUGUAAUGAUAGCAAAUACUUAAGCCCAAAUAUCUUAUAUUGGUUCGAAAGUGCAUCUAAACAAGUUCUCAAACUGUAACUUGAACUAUCUCUUUGAACACACUGUCACAUUGGUAAAAAAGAAUGAUUGGGAACAUAUCAGUAUUGUCCAAGAACUAGACACUCCCUAAGGUGAAGGUAGUUGACCUCAAGGGUGAGAGAAGGUUCUUAUCCCUUCAAACUUUUAAAAUAUUACAGUAAUUAUCUAAUUGCAAUAGAGGACUCUUCUAAGACCCACUUACUAAGGGGGUUUUCUUCUAUUUAGGAGAAUUUUCUCACCAAAGGUUAUUCCCCUAUUCGAGGGAUUUUUUUCUCGCUUAGGAGAAUCUUUCUCUUAUAAAACUCAUUUCACAACUCGAGGGAAAU